UAAUCAAUGAAUAAGAACUAUUGUCUUUCGCUCCUAUCUGAUGUGUCGGCUUCUAUGACCUCCAAUGUCUCCUCAAAUGGGAUUUGGUUUUAAUUGAAUUUCUUGUUUAUUUUCAGAAACCUCUCUGGCUACAGAAUGCUAUGACAUGUGACUUCUCCGCCGACUAAAUUUCCAGCCUUGUUGAUCUAAUGGGAUCUUGGGCAGUUGGGUGCAGAAGAUGUCACACAAACAAUGUUCUGAUCGCUCUCUGAGAUCCGACUGAACGGCCAAGACGAGGUUGACUGAGGUGAGAAUUCAGAGAAUUGCAAAAUGGCUUUUGCUGGUUCAGUGAUGUCUUUAACAAAUGUCUGACCUGAACUUGUAAUGUGGACAACAUUGUUGCUGAGUAACCUGCAAACUUGAAGCUUAAUAGACCAAUCACUGACUUGUAAUAAGGGUAUUUCUGUCUCUUCUCCAGGAAAAGGCUGCAUCUCUUGGGCUGACCUUGGUAAGUAUUUCAAAGUCUAUGACAAAGUGCCAAUGUUGGUUUGAUAGAAA